rnacentral:rRNA from 1 species
UACGUAGGGCGCAAGCGUUAUCCGGAAUUAUUGGGCGUAAAGAGCUCGUAGGCGGCUUGUCGCGUCGAAUGUGAAAUCCUGCGGCUCAACUGCAGGCUUGCAUUCGAUACGGGCAGGCUCGAGUUCGGUAGGGGAGACUGGAAUUCCUGGUGUAGCGGUGAAAUGCGCAGAUAUCAGGAGGAACACCGGUGGCGAAGGCGGGUCUCUGGGCCGAUACUGACGCUGAGGAGCGAAAGCGUGGGGAGCGAACAGG